GAUGAAGAACGCAGUGAAAUGCGAUAAGUAAUGUGAAUUGCAGAAUUCAGUGAAUCAUCGAAUCUUUGAACGCACAUUGCGCCCUCUGGUAUUCCGGGGGGCAUGCCUGUUCGAGCGUCAUUAUAACCACUCAAGCUCUCGCUUGGUAUUGGGGUUCGCGGUUUCGCGGCCCCUAAAAUCAGUGGUGGUGCCUGUCGGCUCUACGCGUAGUAAUACUUCUCGCGAUUGAGUUCGAUAGGUCUACUUGCCAGUAACCCCCAAUUUUUACAGGUUGACCUCGGAUCAGGUAGGGAUACCCGCUGAACUUAAGCAUAUCAAUAAGCGGAGGA
rnacentral:misc_RNA from 1 species